rnacentral:rRNA from 1 species
AGCGAACGCUGGCGGCAGGCCUAACACAUGCAAGUCGAACGAAGUCUUCGGACUUAGUGGCGGACGGGUGAGUAACACGUGGGAACGUACCUUUUGGUUCGGAACAACUCAGGGAAACUUGAGCUAAUACCGGAUGAGCCCUUAGGGGGAAAGAUUUAUCGCCGAAAGAGCGGCCCGCGUUAGAUUAGCUAGUUGGUGAGGUAAAGGCUCACCAAGGCUACGAUCUAUAGCUGGUCUGAGAGGAUGAUCAGCCACACUGGGACUGAGACACGGCCCAGACUCCUGCGGGGGGCAGCAGUGGGGAAUCUUGCGCAAUGGGCGAAAGCCUGACGCAGCCAUGCCGAGUGAAUGAUGAAGGUCUUAGGAUUGUAAAAUUCUUUUACCAGGGACGAUAAUGACGGUACCUGGAGAAAAAGCCCCGGCUAACUUCGUGCCAGCAGCCGCCGUAACAC